GGACAAACCCUAACCUGGCUGGGGGUCUUCUUUGCCCCACUUCUUCCUGUGGUCCAAAUCCUCAAAUUACUGCUCUUGUUCUAUGUUAAGAAGGUCAGCUUGAUGAGAAAUUGUCAGUGUCCCAGUAAACCCUGGCGUGCAUCUCAUAUGAGCACCAUCUUCAUCUCUUUGUUGUGCUUCCCUUCAUUCCUGGGUGCCUCCAUAUUCCUCUCCUAUACCAUCUGGGCAAUAAAACCAUCAGAAAUGUGCGGACCUUUUCAAACUUUUGAUACCAUCUACGAUUCUUGGAAGGUAUGGGUACUAAAGCUGGAAGAAUCCAAUUCAAAUAUUACUUGGUUUACCUGGAUCCAUCAAAACCUCUUCCAAACUUCCUACUUCCUGUUGUUAAUCACUGCAAU